rnacentral:rRNA from 1 species
GAACUGAAGAGUUUGAUCAUGGCUCAGAUUGAACGCUGGCGGCAGGCCUAACACAUGCAAGUCGAGCGGAUGAGGGGAGCUUGCUCCCUGAUUCAGCGGCGGACGGGUGAGUAAUGCCUAGGAAUCUGCCUGGUAGUGGGGGACAACGUUUCGAAAGGAACGCUAAUACCGCAUACGUGCUACGGGAGAAAGCAGGGGACC